GAUAUAUUUAAUUCUUAGAAAUGUAAAUUGUCAACAAAAUUAUAAAUAUCAAUAAAAGAUUAUCGGUACACCUUAACAAUUAUGUUUCAUUAGAAAAUUAAAAAAUCAUUCCAUCUUAACCACAUCAAAGUUGUUUUACAUAACACUUAGUUGACUUGUUCUCACCCGUAUUUUUAAACUCGAUUUCACCAUCAAUUUUGUAUUCAUCAUAUAGUAAGGUAUGAAUGGUCUCAAAUCCAAACUUUUCAUAAAUUUUCUGGGAAUAAUUCGAAGUGCCUUCACCUUUUAUGCAAACUGGACUUAACCCUAGUUCUUUACAAAAUAGUAGAGUGGCUUUCAUUACUUUAGAAGCUAUUCCCUGUGCUAUGUGAUCUUUAUGGGUUGCAAGAGCAACAAAUGCCACUACUAUAUCUGCGUUAUAUCGUUUAAAAAAGUCCAUCUCAUUAUAUUUAUGCCCCAAAAAGUCCAUAAUUUAUACCAAUUACGAUUUUUCGAUUUUGACCAAUCUGCCUUUUCUCCUUUCCUGGCUAAACACAUUGACCUAGCGGCUAUUAUUUCUCCGGUUAUGUCUGAUAUCAGUAAAACAGACAGGUUUUCACGAAAAACUUCUGUGAAUAAUGCAGCAACUUCUUCAUCUAACUCUGCCCCUGAAGAUUUACAUAAAACUUCAUCGGGGUAAAAAUGUUCUUUAAGGAAAGUUACAAGACUGCCAUUUCGUUCCUUGGAGGAUAAUUCCAAAUGUGCAUCUUUGAAAUCAAAAGAGUCGUUUAUUCGUCGUAAAGCCU
rnacentral:lncRNA from 1 species